rnacentral:rRNA from 1 species
CCUACGGGUGGCAGCAGUGAGGAAUAUUGGUCAAUGGACGAGAGUCUGAACCAGCCAAGUAGCGUGAAGGAUGACUGCCCUAUGGGUUGUAAACUUCUUUUAUCUGGGAAUAAAACGUUCCACGUGUGGGAUUUUGUAUGUACCAUAUGAAUAAGGAUCGGCUAACUCCGUGCCAGCAGCCGCGGUAAUACGGAGGAUUCGAGCGUUAUCCGGAUUUAUUGGGUUUAAAGGGAGCGUAGGUGGAUUGUUAAGUCAGUUGUGAAAGUUUGCGGCUCAACCGUAAAAUUGCAGUUGAAACUGGCAGUCUUGAGUACAGUAGAGGUGGGCGGAAUGCGUGGUGUAGCGGUGAAAUGCUUAGAUAUCACGAAGAACUCCGAUUGCGAAGGCAGUUCACUGGACUGCAACUGACACUGAGGCACGAAAGUGUGGGUAUCAAACAGGAUUAGAUACCCCUGUAGUC